rnacentral:rRNA from 1 species
AUUGAACGCUGGCGGCAGGCUUAACACAUGCAAGUCGAGCGAGCGGCGCACGGGUGUGUAAUGUCUGGGAAACUGCCUGAUGGAGGGGGAUAACUACUGGAAACGGUAGCUAAUACCGCAUACCAUCAGAUGUGCCCAUAUGGGAUUAGCUAGUAGGUGGGGUAAUGGCUCACCUAGGCGACGAUCCCUAGCUGGUCGGAGAGGAUGACGAGGCGCACUGGAACUGAGACACGGUCCAGACUCCGCAGGGAGGCAGCAGUGGGGAAUGUUGCACAAUGGGCGCAAGCCUGAUGCGGCCUUGCCGGGUGUGUGAAGAAGGCCGUCGGGUUGUAAAGCACUUUCAGCGAGGAGGGGUUACUCGCAGAAGAAGCACCGGCUAACUACGUGCCAGCAGCCGCGGUAAUAC